UUGGUUUAUAGAGAAGUUGGUGAAAAUAUAUGACAGAUAUUUGACUGUUGACUGAUCAUUUCUUUAACAAGGUAAGCUUAUUUUCUAACUUUAAUAUUAUUUCUAAUUUGCAGUAAACGUAAUAAUUUGGUAGAUUUAAUUCCAUAGCACUUGCACAGUGAGAAAGAUAUUUUGUGAGGCAUAAAUCAGUUAGCUUGAAAUAAGUUAAAUUUAUGUGUUUCACAGAUUUGGUAUACUGUAUUUUUAAAUACAUGCUUGAUAUUUUUAUGAUGCAAGUUUAUUUAUGUAAACUUCAUAAUUUACAGUCAAUCUCCAUGGACAUUUUUGUUAAAUGAGGGAUUAUUGCCACAUCACUUAUUCCCAUAGAAUGAGUGUCAUACACAUACAUAUACAUGUAUAUCUAAAGCUUAGAUUCUGGCAAUAAAAUGGAGGUGAUCGACAUCUAAGAACCCA